GCUUCAAUGCCUCCUCAGGUUCAUUCAAAGAUUCAUAGAUGGCUGAGAUUUCUGUCAACCCAACAGCAAUCUCCUCAGUUGCAGUUUCAGGGGCUGGUCUUGCAUAUAUUCUCAAGGCAUUCUCACAGUAGGAUUUGGACUCCCUUAUCUUGCCUGUCUUGUAAUACAAAUCUGCUAGGCGGAUAAAGGCAGAUGCUACAGUAGGAUGAUUGUCACCCUUGGUAGAUUUGAAGACUGUCAGUGCUUUUUGGUAGGAAAAAAUUGCUUCGUCAAAUCGGCAAAGGGACACAUAAAUAUUGCCAAUGCAAAUGUCAAUAGCAGCAACCUCAUUGUCCUGACCAGUGGCAAUCAUUGCCAUGCUAGCAAGGACAAGUUGCUCGAGGGCAGAUUCAUAGUCUCCCUUUGCUUCACAGACAAGAGCCAUAAGCCGGCGAUCAAUUGCCUCUUCAAGGGAUGCUGGUGGACUAUGAUUCCGGUGAAUUUCAAGGAUCUUCUUGCAGAGCUUUUCUGCCUCAUCAAACUGCAUUGCUUGAACAUAGGCCUCUGCUAAAUACCUGCACGUCUCAGCAACUCUGGGAUCCAAAACCCCAAAAGCCUCAAUCUGGAUCUUCAAACCCGACUCGUAACACGAAAUGGACCGAUCCAGCUGCCCCAGCAUAGAAUACGUGUCCCCAAGCUGCAUAUACCCGGUGAACUUAGCCAAAGCAUGAUCCAACCCGUCAGUACUAUCCAGAACCUCAAUGGAACGCUCCAGAACAGGUACCGCUUCCUCAAACCGGCCCAAACUGCAAUAAAUCGCGGCUAGGACGUGCAAGCUCAUGGUUAGCUCCAGACCCGAACCCGAACACCGUUCAAACGAUACGGACGCACGGGACGCAUAGUCCAAGGCUUUAUUCGGGUUAUCACCCGAAACAAUGGUGUCCCGGGCGAGCUUUAACAGAAAUGGACCCAGAUCCGGGUUGUCGGGAGAGGGCUCGUCGAUGGGGAGCUUCUCAGGGGUUUUGUAGGAGGAUAAGGCUCGUGGGUUGCACUUGGAGGGUGAUGGGGUUCGCUUUAGGAGCGGAGAUGGCGUUUUAACGUCGUUUUCGCGGAAGUAACUGUGUAAUGGCUUUGCAUUGGCAGGGUUCUGUGCUGAGACUAGACCUGGCAUUAUUGCUAUCUGAAUUGUACCCAGUACCCACAACUCAAUUCAGUUCCAGAGGUUUAUCUUCUGUAAAAUGGACGGGUCAGAAUCGCCAUAUUCUGGAGGGCUGGAAGGAAAACUAGAAGAUAAGGGUUGCAGACCGCAUUACGGGUUCAGGAUAAAUGCAGAAGCGAAAUCAAAUGGGUUUGCCUAUCGGGACACUCUAUAAAAUUGGAACGAAAAAGAAAUUAACAAUUGACAUUCACAGUGAAGAAGGGACUGGCCAUAAUUAAAAUAGAAAAUUAUAAAAAAAAGGCUUAUACAAGUCUCAAAAUAUAUAAUUAAAAGAAGAUAAAAUAGAAGCGUGGAGAUAGAGCAGAAGAAACUGAAAUUAUAAUAUAGGGGAGGGAGGAGGUUACAGAGAGGAGUCGAUCAUUGGUGAUGAUGGUGUUGGUAGUGGCGAAUGAUGGUUGCGUGGAAGGGACUUCUCAUGAUUAAGGAAUUAGGGUAUUUUAAUUUAAUAACGAACUUUAGAACGAAAAAGGGAAGAAACAGCAAUACAAAAUCCAUUAAUGCGCACAGUCGGGCUUUCUGUUUUUGAUCUCUCUUCUUCUAUACUGCUCUGUGCUUUCUAGUUUUUUAUAAGAACGCUGCCUUUGCUUCGUCCUUCAGCAACAUCCGCUCCGCUCCCGUCUCAGAGUCUUGCCACGUGACACGGCCCAUCAUAUAAUUUCAUAUUACCAUUUUGCCAUUAUCACAUUGUGUAAGGAAACGGCGCGUUUUGGAGAUUGCAGAAGCGGUGCGCUAAGCGUUAAGCCCUUCUGCUUUUCUCUUCCUCCUUCUUGGCUAUCCCUUUUGCGGCUGGCGAGUGGUGACUCCGGCAACGGUCAUUCCAGAGGUAAUAUAUUGUUUUUUCUUUUUCUCUGGGCAUUUUCAGUUGGGAACUUUUACAGUUUGUAUGGAAAAGUGAUGAAAGAUGCACUCAACACGCUGCCGUGAGAUAGAUUUAUGUAUGCGUUAUGAUGGGCUAGGGGCUAGAGGGAUUUUAAGGCUUGAACUUUGAGAAGAAAGGUCUAGGAUUAUAUUUGAAUUGAGUGUGAUUUUCAGUACAAGGAGGUUGAAUUUGAAUUUAAGAAUCCGGUUACUUUGAAUUUUGUGGAUUUAGAAGAAUUAGGGUCUGGAAGGUGUAUUUUGAUGAUAAAACCUAGGAAAAUACUUUGCCAAUUCGUCAUACACCAUUUAUUUGCCCAAAACCUAGCAUUCUUUACAAGGAAAUACCAUUUUCACUCUGUUUCCUAACCAAAAAAAAAAAAAAAAAAAGAUCCGUUUUUGGAGUAGACAAGAAAGAAAUGAGACUAUAAAGCAUAGGAAAAUGAAGGAAUAGGAACAAACACAUACUGCUUCUGAAGGAUAAUCAGUUGGUGCAUACCCAGUUCUAAAAUAAACCACUGCAAUUGCUUGUCCACCUCUGCAAGUGUGUAUCUUUCAUAUACCAAUGUUGAAAAAGGACAAAAUAAAACAACAAAUCUAGAGAGGAGAUACUAAUUUCCAAGGCAGAAAUGACGUACACAAGGAGUGUUCCAUCUGGUAAAAGUUCCCCUUCUUCAUCAAUUUCUGCCAAUGUUUUCCGAAUAGCUGUUACAUUAUGUGUGUUAUAAAGCUAAGGAAGAAAAUAUCAAGAGGACUGGGGGAAAAGCAUCUGACUAAAAUAAAUAUCUGGAAAGAGAUUUCAGAAAAAUGAUUUCUGAAAAGUUCAUGCUUCAACAACCAAUUCAUUCAGAAAUUAGUAAAAAUUUCAUCAGCUUUCUAACAUUAUAAUGCAUGAAAAAACUUCUUUUUAUGACCAUCUGUAGUGUAAUCACACCUCAGAAACUAUACCAGUCCUGCAAUGAGAGUUGAGAGUCUAAUUUUUACAUGAAAAGGAUAUUUUUCCUUCAAUGCAGCACAAAGCCAAUGUUGGUCAUACAUGUUGUGCUCCUCAGGCUGAACAACAACCAUAACUGCAGCCCUAGGGUUAUUAUACUCAGUCCAAGCUUUAGCCAGCGCAUCUGCAAACCGAUUAACAGUAGUGUUGCUUGGUAUUCUUUUGGAAUCUAAUCCAAGGUGUUCUCCAUAACGCUUAAGCAAGCUCGUUUCUUAACCUGUGAAGGUCACUGACAAGACAACUGAGGCCAGGAAACGAAGAGGAAAUUGUAUUUAUCUCUAUGUGGAGGAGUAAUUUAGUUUGUUCAUCAAGCAUGUAAUCAGAGCGAUGUAAACCCAAUCGUAUUUCCUCUGUUUUGUUCAUUUCUAGCACCUUGGAAUGAAUAUCUAAAAGUCUUGAUGUAAAAACAUCUACUUUCUUUGUUCUGCAGUGUUAAGAAUAGAAGAGAUAUCAAUUACACAACUAUUCAAACUUAUCAAUAGAAUAUUGAGAACGAGCAUAAAAUGGCAAACAGAACUAGAAGAGAUGAAGCUUGACAAAGCACAAAAAUAACAAUGAAUAUAAGGAAUAUUUUGAAACUGAUCUACGGCUCUAUUUAAGCUGGACCACAAAUGCAUAAUGAUUAUUUUGAUACUGAUCUGCUAAAGCUUCAGGGAAUAAAAAAAAUAGCAAAGCUAAGAACAGGUAAAAGAGCAUGUGAAGGUAUUAUCAAUUUCAGUUAGAGAUUUAUAGCUUUCACCAUGCACAACUUUCUCAAAAUAACCCUCACAAUUGAGCGUGAAGAACAUUGUAGCAUAUUUACUCAUCUUUCAAGAUGGUUCCAGCUCUGAACACAAACAUUUGUCAAAAGGGAUGAUUGUGUUACUGAUAACAAUCCCAACAGUUACUAUAAAUGGUUGGCAAACAGCAAAUGGAUCUGGUUGAGGAACUGAAGAAACAAGUAACAGGCCACCAUCCAAGAAAUAAUGUCCUAGAAGGUUGAAUUACUGGCACACACAUUAGUGAAACGAGGUAAAAUUAUGUAGAUAUCCAGGAUGAAUAGUACCUGGAUAACGAAUCCUGCAGAAAAUUUCCAUCCAAACUAACACGAUCAAUGAGUUCGUUGAAUACAGGAGCAACUUCACAUGCUGACUUCCAGUGAUUUUCUGGGAAUGCCACUGGCAGCAAGGCAAAUGGAGCAUGUACCAUCCCCACACCGGGUACUUUUCCUGAUCUCUGAACACUUUUAUCACCAACAACAAGACCAUGGAGAGAACUCCAAACAAGCGCAUCGUAAGCCAUCUUUUGAAUCAAUUCUUCAUCGAUGCCAUGAAAAUCAAUUACGGGUUUUGAAGCACUUCCUUCUUGGGUCUCCAUCAAUCUUACUCUUGCACAACUCAAAGGCACGAUCUUUGAAGACGAACAGGGAGAUUUAAGUGAAUAAUGGUUUUGGGAAAUAAAAUUGCUAGUGGGUUUCUGAAGAUGAAGAUAAAUGGUGGGAGUGGAAGAAGAAUUUGAGCUUGGUUUUGAUACGCGAUGGAAAAGAUAGCAACGAGGGAUGUUAGUAGUGGCAGGGGAAGAGAGACAGGUAGCAGAGGAAUGGGCAGCACCCAUUUGGACCUUUUUUAUUGGUGGUCUGAAUGAUACUAUAAGACUUCAAGGCGGCCCAAUACAGAGAAGAAUUAUGAAUUGAAUUGUGGGAUUGGAAGCAAAGCAGCUUGUAGAUUUGUUUUUGAGAGUGCCAAAGUGUCCUUGAACCUUGAUUACGCCAUGCUUAGCUUUAUUUUUUGGAUUCGCUCACCG
rnacentral:misc_RNA from 1 species